rnacentral:rRNA from 1 species
GUCGAACGGUGAAGCUCCAGCUUGCUGGAGUGGAUCAGUGGCGAACGGGUGAGUAACACGUGAGCAACCUGCCCCAAACUCUGGAAUAAGCGCUGGAAACGGCGUCUAAUACUGGAUACGAGACCAACCUGCAUGGGUAUGGUUUGGAAAGUUUUUCGGUUUGGGAUGGGCUCGCGGCCUAUCAGCUUGUUGGUGAGGUAAUGGCUCACCAAGGCGACGACGGGUAGCCGGCCUGAGAGGGCGACCGGCCACACUGGGACUGAGACACGGCCCAGACUCCUACGGGAGGCAGCAGUGGGGAAUAUUGCACAAUGGGCGAAAGCCUGAUGCAGCGACGCCGCGUGAGGGAUGACGGCCUUCGGGUUGUAAACCUCUUUCAGCAGGGAAGAAGCGAAAGUGACGGUACCUGCAGAAGAAGCACCGGCUAACUACGUGCCAGCAGCCGCGGUAAUACGUAGGGUGCGAGCGUUGUCCGGAAUUAUUGGGCGUAAAGAGCUUGUAGGCGGUUUGUCGCGUCUGCUGUGAAAAUCCGGGGCUCAACCCCGGACUUGCAGUGGGUACGGGCAGACUAGAGUGUGGUAGGGGAGACUGGAAUUCCUGGUGUAGCGGUGAAAUGCGCAGAUAUCAUGAGGAAC